rnacentral:rRNA from 1 species
GAUGAACGCUGGCGGCGUGCCUAAUACAUGCAAGUCGAGCGAACAGACGAGGAGCUUGCUCCUCUGACGUUAGCGGCGGACGGGUGAGUAACACGUGGAUAACCUACCUAUAAGACUGGGAUAACUUCGGGAAACCGGAGCUAAUACCGGAUAAUAUAUUGAACCGCAUGGUUCAAUAGUGAAAGACGGUUUUGCUGUCACUUAUAGAUGGAUCCGCGCCGCAUUAGCUAGUUGGUGAGGUAACGGCUUACCAAGGCAGCGAUGCGUAGCCGCCCUGAGAGGGUGAUCGGCCACACUGGAACGGAGACACGGCCCAGACUCCUACGGGAGGCAGCAGUAGGGAAUCUUCCGCAAUGGUCGAAAGCCUGACGGAGCAACGCCGCGUGAGUGAUGAAGGUCUUCGGAUCGUAAAACUCUGUUAUUAGGGAAGAACAAAUGUGUAAGUAACUAUGCACGUCUUGACGGUACCUAAUCAGAAAGCCACGGCUAACUACGUG